UUCCGGUUGAUCCCGCCGGACCUGACUGCUAUCGGAUUGAUACUAAGCCAUGCGAGUCUUUGCAGUAAUGCAAGGCAUACGGCUCAGUAACGCGUAGUCAACCUACCCUAUGGACGAGAAUAAUCUCGGGAAACUGAGGAUAAUACUCGAUAGAUCAUAAUGCCUGGAAUGGUUUAUGGUUGAAAUGAUUCGUCGCCAUAGGAUGGGACUGCGACCUAUCAGCUUGUUGGUGAGGUAAUGGCCCACCAAGGCGAUUACAGGUACGGGCUCUGAGAGGAGAAGCCCGGAGAUGGGUACUGAGACAAGGACCCAGGCCCUAUGGGGCGCAGCAGGCGAGAAAACUUUGCAAUGUGCGAAAGCACGACAAGGUUAAUCCGAGUGAUUUCUGCUAAAGAAAUCUUUUGCAAGUCGUAAAACCACUAAUGAAUAAGGGGUGGGCAAGUUCUGGUGUCAGCCGCCGCGGUAAAACCAGCACCUCAAGUGGUCAGGAUGAUUAUUGGGCCUAAAGCAUCCGUAGCCGGCUUUGUUAGUUUUCGGUUAAAUCUAUGCGCUCAACGCAUAGGCUGCCGAAAAUACUGCAGAGCUAGGGAGUGGAAGAGGUAGACGGUACUCGAUAGGAAGGGGUAAAAUCCUUUGAUCUAUUGAUGACCACCUGUGGCGAAGGCGGUCUACCAGAACACGUUCGACGGUGAGGGAUGAAAGCUGGGGGAGCAAACCGGAUUAGAUACCCGGGUAGUCCCAGCUGUAAACGAUGCAGACUCGAUGAUGCAUUGGCAUAUAGCUAGUGCAGUAUCGCAGGGAAGUCGUUAAGUCUGCCGCCUGGGAAGUACGUACGCAAGUAUGAAACUUAAAGGAAUUGGCGGGGGAGCACCACAAGGGGUGAAGCCUGCGGUUCAAUUGGAGUCAACGCCGGAG
rnacentral:rRNA from 1 species